CUCAAAAAUGCUGCAGUAAAAUGGUUUGAUAUGAGGUGUGCAUAUAGUAUGGGACAUCCCUUAUAGGAACAGACCAUUGUUUUUUUCUACUUUUAAGAAAUGGGAUCUUUAUAGCCCUUUAAAAUGUAAUAAUGUCCCAUAUCUCGAAAAUGCUGCUGUAAAAUGGUUUGAUAUGAUGUGUGCAUAUAGUAUGAAAUGUCCCUGAUAAGAAUUGACUAUUAUUUUUUUCUACUUAUUACAAAUGGGAUCUUUAUAGCCCUUUAAAGUGUAAUAAUGUCCCAUAUCUUGAAAAUGCUGCAGUAAAAUGGUUUGAUAUGAGGUGUGCAUAUAGUAUGGCAUGUCCUUUAUAAGAACUGACCAUUGUUUUUUUCUACUUAUUAGAAAUGGGGUCUUUGUAGCACUCUAAAUCACCAUUUGGACCCAUAUCUCAAAAAUGCUGCAGUAAAAGGGUUUGAUAUGAGGUGUGCAUAUAGUAUGGGACAUCCCUUAUAGGAACAUACCAUUGUUUUUAUCUACUUAUUAGAAAUGGGAUCUUUAUAGCCCUUUAAAAUAUAAUAAUGUCCCAUAUCUCGAAAAUUCUGCAGUAAAAUGGUUUGAUAUGAGGUGUGCAUAUAGUAUGGGAUGUCCUUUAUAAGAACUGACCAUUGUUUUUUUUCUACUUAUUAGAAAUGAUGCCUUUAUAGCCCUCCAAAUCACCAUUUGGACCCAUAUCUCAAAAAUGCUGCAGUAAAAUGGUUUGAUAUGAGGUGUGCAUAUACUAUGGCAUAUCCUUUAUAAGAACUGAACAUUGUUUUUUUCUACUUAUUAGAAAUGGGAUCUUUAUAGCCCUUUAAAGUGUAAUAAUGUCCCAUAUCUCGAAAAUGCUGCAGUAAAAUGGUUUGAUAUGAAGUGUGCAUAUAGUAUGGGAUGUCCCUGAUAAGAACUGACUUUUGUUUUUUUCUACUUAUUAGAAAUGGGAUCUUUAUGACCCUUUAAAUUGUAAUAAUGUCCCAUAUCUUGAAAAUGCUGCAGUAAAAUGGUUUGAUAUGAGGUGUGCAUAUAGUAUGGGACAUCCCUGAUAAGAACUGACUGUUGCUUUUUUCUACUUAUUAGAAAUGGGAUCUUUACAGCCAUUUAAAAUGUAACAAUGUCCCAUAUCUCGAAAAUGCUGCAGUAAAAUGGUUUGAUAUGAGGUGUGCAUAUAGUAUGGGAUGUCCCUGAUAAGAACUGAUUUUUGUUUUUUUCUACUUAUUAGAAAUGGGAUCUUUAUGACCCUUUAAAUUGUAAUAAUGUCCCAUAUCUUGAAAAUGCUGCAGUAAAAUGGUUUGAUAUGAGGUGUGCAUAUAGUAUGGGACAUCCCUGAUAAGAACUGACUGUUGCUUUUUUCUACUUAUUAGAAAUGGGAUCUUUACAGCCAUUUAAAAUGUAACAAUGUCCCAUAUCUCGAAAAUGCUGCAGUAAAAUGGUUUGAUAUGAGGUGUGCAUAUAGUAUGGGAUGUCCCUGAUAAGAACUGAUUUUUGUUUUUUUCUACUUAUUAGAAAUGGGAUCUUUAUGACCCUUUAAAUUGUAAUAAUGUCCCAUAUCUUGAAAAUGCUGCAGUAAAAUGGUUUGAUAUGAGGUGUGCAUAUAGUAUGGGACAUCCCUGAUAAGAACUGACUGUUGCUUUUUUCUACUUAUUAGAAAUGGGAUCUUUACAGCCAUUUAAAAUGUAACAAUGUCCCAUAUCUCGAAAAUGCUGCAGUAAAAUGGUUUGAUAUGAGGUGUGCAUAUAGUAUGGGAUGUCCCUGAUAAGAACUGAUUUUUGUUUUUUUCUACUUAUUAGAAAUGGGAUCUUUAUGACCCUUUAAAUUGUAAUAAUGUCCCAUAUCUUGAAAAUGCUGCAGUAAAAUGGUUUGAUAUGAGGUGUGCAUAUAGUAUGGGACAUCCCUGAUAAGAACUGACUGUUGCUUUUUUCUACUUAUUAGAAAUGGGAUCUUUACAGCCAUUUAAAAUGUAACAAUGUCCCAUAUCUCGAAAAUGCUGCAGUAAAAUGGUUUGAUAUGAGGUGUGCAUAUA